ensembl:rRNA predicted gene, 25974
UACUCUGGCCAUACCACCCUGAACAUGCCUGCUCUUGUCUGAUCUUAGAAGCUAAGCAGGAUUGGGUCAGGUCAACGCCUGGAUGGAAGAAAGU